CUGCUCCGCCUGGCUUUGCUCUGCAGAUGCACGCAGCUCGUGGCCCCUUCCCAAAGGCAGAAAAGCUGGCUUGGCCCAGGGAGGAGGAGGACGAAGCGGCCCCGAAGCUGCUUCACCCGCAGCCUCCUCCCCUUCUCCUGCCGCCGGCAGGAGAAGAGCCAGCUGGGCCCAGGGAGGCGGAGGACGAAGCGGCUCCGAAGCUGCUUCGACCGCCGCCUCCCCCACCUUCUCCACACCCUGCGGGCCGGAUACAUGCCCUCGGGGGACCGGAUCCGCCCCCGGCCCUUAGUUUGGGGACCCCUGCUCUAGAACAUGGCCAUAUAGCCCGAAAAAACCUGCAACCACCCAGUGAUUCUGGCCAUGAAAGCCUUGGAAAAUACAUUGCAAAUUCACUGUUGUGCCACCAGUUUGAAAAGAGCCACUAUCACACUUGCUUUAGGCUUUCUUGUAGUUUAGAUAUUGCACGCAUAUACAUACAGAUGUCUGCCAGUUGGAAAGGCCAAGUAACAGCAAAGACUCUUGCAGUGUGAAUCCUUCUGUCUCUUUUUCUUCUGUUUGGUCUAUUUGCAAAAUACCCCUUGCUCUGUUGGUGAGGAAAAUAUUAUUGGCAACUGAGGGAAGGAAAGGCAGAGGGAAAAAGUGAAAUGGGAGCUAACCUUUCUUUUUCCCUUCCCCAGGGCUCACUGUUCUGCACAGAAGUAAAAUAAAUUUUAGCCUGUUUGAGAACAGAGAGGAAAAGAGACAAGAAGAGGAGGAGAAUCACAUCUACUCAUACCACAUAGUUGCUGGUGUUAGAACUGCAGGAGAAAGCAUACACACCACAUUGGAGGCAGGGGUAGAAAGCAGUGAUAUUUUGAGACAUUGGCAGAUUUUUGCUAUCAGUGAAUUCCACCAAUGAAUUAAUUGCAAAGCAGCAACAGUACAGACAUGACAUCAUGUGGCUGUUUGGAGUAUGGUAACAACCUUACGGAAGUGCCCUUACGUCAUGUGUGGGGGUCCCUUGGGACUGCGAGGGAGGGGGCUCCAUUUCUGCAGUGCAUGGGAACAGAGCCCUACACUUGUCUGAUGAGGUCCUAAGUAGAUGCAGAUUGGCAAGCAUAAGAUUCUUCCAUGGAUAUUAUUUAAAUCAGCUCAAAGAAUACAGACAGUAUUUAAGUCAAAAACUUACCAGGCAAAGAAAUAUAAUUGCAAUCUGCAUACCUAGGACUUAUCAAAUGCAUAAGCAAAAUUGGACUCACCUCAAAUCCAGUGCUGGCUAUCUCCACAAGACAUGGUGACUUUAUGGUGGGCAUGCUGAGUAAACUGUUUUGCCCAGAAGGAUAUCAGCAGGAAUUGAUCAGUUUUUAAAUAUUAAAGCCAUUCAAGAGGAAAACAGAAAAAAAGAGGAAAACAGAAGACAGCAGCAUUCUAUGAAGAGCUGUGAGAUUCAUCUCAAGAAUUUGUUCUUUAACAUUUAGAUUUAUGUUAAAACAUAAAUUAUAUGUAUUGUUAAGAGUAUUUUUGUAACUGAAUAGAAGCACAAAAAUAAAGUAAUUUUUAUUCUAAAUUAC